rnacentral:tRNA from 1 species
GCCAGUGUGGCUCAGUGGUUGAGCACUGACCUAUGAACCCGGAGGUCACAGGUUUGAUUCCUGGUCGGGGCA